rnacentral:misc_RNA from 1 species
AACGCACAUUGCGCCCUUUGGCAUUCCGAAGGGCAUGCCUGUCUGAGCCUCAACAAGUCAAUCAAACUUACGUUUGGUAAUGGGGGAUGAGGUGCAAGCUUCACCCCUUCAAAAAAUUGGCGGUUCUCAAUCAGCUUGUAAAACGUAAUAAUUUUCGCUCGUUAAAGCAACUGGUUUAGUAGCCUGCCAACCAAAAGUCAUUGACACUUCAGUUACUUGAGCUCAGAUCAGGUAGGGCUACCCCCUGAACUUAA